rnacentral:rRNA from 1 species
ACAAUGGAGAGUUUGAUCCUGGCUCAGGAUGAACGCUAGCUACAGGCUUAACACAUGCAAGUCGAGGGGAAACGAUAUUGGAAGCUUGCUUCCGAUAGGCGUCGACCGGCGCACGGGUGAGUAACGCGUAUCCAACCUGCCCACCACUUGGGGAUAACCUUGCGAAAGUAAGACUAAUACCCAAUGACGUCUCUAGAAGACAUCUGAAAG